rnacentral:misc_RNA from 1 species
UUCUCUUCAAUCGGUCAAGUGGCGUUCUUUCUUUUCAUAUUGCUGUGUUUUUAUGGAACAACUGAUAUUAAAAUAUUACAAUACUUGAUUUGAUUCUACCCAAGAAAUUGGCAUAAAUCAGAACAUUAUCUUAUAGCGCACAGAACGUAAAUAAGUGCUUAAUGAUAUGUAUUACAAGUUGGUGGAAUUGUGAAUGAGCAGGUCGCGAUCGAAAUUCGACAGCGCUGCACGAAGACGUGCGAAACGGAAAACAAGAAAAGCGAAGGCAUAAUUUGUGUGAAAUGUGUUUAAAAAUAUGGAAAAUCUGAAAAUAAGUGGAAAUUUAUUUGCAAAUAUACGAUAUUUCGUUGAUGGAAAUUUAGAUGAAGAGGUGGAAAAGCUGCUUAAAAAUGGUGGGGCACAAUCGAAACGUUUUUUAUCAGAUGUGGUUACACAUCUGGUGUGUGCACCAAACUACACUGAAGAAGAAUUGGCAAUGAACUUGGAUCUCUAUAAUGUUAUACCAGUUACCGAUCAAUGGAUAGUACAUAGUGCCAAGUUGGGACGUUUAGCGUCUACAAAAGCAUUUGAUCCAAGCACACAACGGCUUUUCAAAUCACUUAAAUUCGCAGUAACAAAUUUAUCAAGUGAAGACUUUAAAUGUUUGUAUGCUAUUCUUACAUUUCAUGGCGCUCAAGUCACUACCGCAGCCGACGCGAGUACUACACACUUAAUAUGCGGUAGUAUAGGAGGGAAUUAUUAUAAUCGUGCAACAAAGGCAUCUGUAAAUAUAGUUAGCCCUGACUGGGUAUUUGAUUGCUUAAAACAGUGUAAAAUUUUGAGUUGUGAUGGUUACCACCCUCGAUUGCUCAAGAUUGUAGAUCAACCUAAAAGUGUACCUAAAUUGACAAACAUCUCCACAUCAUACAAUCACGUUUCUGCAACAAAACCAAUAACACAAAUGCCAAUAUCCGUUCCUGUUGCGUCAACUACAACUACGAACACAUCUGAUUGCAAUAUGGUUGACUCGGUGGAGCAAACAUUAUCGACAAUAUUAGGUUUUGAUGAUGAUGAUAUGGGUGGUAUUGUAAGUAGUAUUGACAAUACCAUCGGUGCGAGUGUAGAUGAUGCCGAUGCUGCGGAAAGCAUUGCUAAUAUUAAAUCGCAGUUGCAAGCCUCUUUACCACCAUUACCAGCCAUUCCACCUACCCUUCCUUCAACAAGUACAAAUACAGGAGAAGAUUUAAAUAAGACCCCAUCAACCCAAUUGCAGGAAAACACGUCAUGUAAUGAAAAUAAUCAACUGCCCGAAGUUUUAUUAAAUACUAAUCCUGUUGUAUCACAAAUACAAACGGAAGUGCAAUCACAACCUCAACAACAUACUCAAUUACAAAGUCAAUUGCAUCCUCAACAACAAAUUGUGUUUGUACGCCCUCGUAAUAUUCAACAACAGCAACAACAACACCAACAACAAAUAAUUUUAGGUGGUACGCAACAACCAUCUUUACAACCUCAACAAAUAAUUGUUCAACAAAAAAUAGUACCAAAUGUUGUGGCCCAGCAGCAAAUUCAACUGCAACAGCAGAGUCAAAAUAAAAUGGGGCCAGGAAAUGUUUUACAGCAACAGAGAAAUCUCAAGAGUCCACAACAUCACAUUCAAAUAAUACAACAUCAACAACUACCACAAACACCACGAACUCCCCAGCCACAACCACCAAAUCAUCCUAAUCUUCCUCCUCAACCCCGUACCGCUCCAUCUACACCCACUUCAAGUGGACCACCGCCGCUGCCCGACCCACGUACUCCCACUCCAACACCAACAGCUGUUGCUGUUAACAUAGCACAACCGCGAACCCCGCAAACUCCAAGUGGUAGACAUACUCCGGCUUCUAGAACGCCUUGCACGACACCUCAGCCACCCAAUCAGUCUCCACAACAUGUCACCAUACCGAUGUCCCCACAAUCACAGCAACCUCAUCAACAACAAACAGUGCAAAUGUCGCCGCAAAUGUUACAUCAACACAUAUUACAUCAGCAAAAUAUUCUUCAGCAACAACAACAGCAACUUCAGCAACAUAUACAAAAUGGGCAAAGUUUGACACCACAGCAACAGGCUUUACAGCGCCAAAUACAACAUCAGCAACAACAAUUAAUACAACAACAACAGAAAUUUCAACAACAAAUACAGCAACAACAACAACAACAGCAGCAACAACAACAAAUGCAACAAUCUCCCCGAUUAAAUCAAAAUCCGCAAUCACAAUCACCUUCAUUGCAACAACAGCAAAAUCACGUCCCUAGUAGUGGUAGCAUGAUGCCCCCACAAUCGCCACGGCAGUCACCCGCUCUUCAAAUGACGCCACCGCCUCACUCACCACAACCACAGCAACAGCAACAACAAAUGCGUCAGCAAAUGCAAAAUCGACAGCAGCGUCAGCCGCAAGGUUUAGGUGGAGCUAUGGGUUCACCCCAACAUCAGCCAAUGAUGUCACCGCAACAACAACAAACGAUGCAACCAUUUCAACAACCUCAGCGGAUUACUCAAGCACAACAACAAAGCCCACAACAUAUUUCUGCUCCGCAGUCGCCACAAACACAGCAACCCACACCAACCACGCAACAAACAAAGCAACAGAUGUUACAACAGAUGAAGCCAAUAGAUCCAACUGAUCCCGUUCAGGUGGCACAAGUGCUCAGUCGGUCAGCUCCAAGUCCAAAUCACGAAUCAUUAAUAAUGCGGCAACAGCAUUUGAAGCAACAGCAAGCACUACAGCAACAACAGGCAUUACAACAGCAACAUGCGUUACAACAACAACAACAGCAACAACAAAAUAUGCAAAUUCAACAACAACAACAACAGCCCCAAUCAGCUAGGCAAUCGCCUUUACAACAACCUCAGGUACAGCAACAAAUUGUUGUUAAUCCCAACAAUCAGCAACACCAAAUAAUUGCUCAACGCCAUGUCAUCAACACAUCCACUGUUCAGGGUCAGCAGCUAAUACAAAGUCACAUGAUGAAUAUACAACAACAGCAGCAGCAGCAACAACAACAACAACAAGCACAACACAAACAGCAACACUUGAUAAAUAUACAGCAGCAACAACAACAACAACAGUUAAUUGUCCAGCAACAGCAGCAGCAACAACAGAAGCCAUCUGGCAUGAUAAUCGGAGGAAUGUCACCUCAGCCGCAGCAAUUGCAGCAGGCCCAACAGCAACAACAACCGGCAUCAAUGCAGUUUAGUCAACCGCAACAAAUGACCAUGUCAGGGGGUCAAGUAUGCAUCAUACAACAAACGCUGCAGCCGCAGACGCAGCCGCAACAGCAACAACAACUGCAACCUCAAAUUGUUCAGCAGCAACAACAACAGCAACCACAAAUAAUUCAACAGCAGCAGGUGACUGGUAUAUCAACGAAUUAUCAGCAGCAAAUUAUGAGCCCUAACAUACAGCAAUCGAACACACAACAACAACCACAUCAACAGCAUCAGGUAAUAAGCCAACAAAUUCAGAUUCCACCACAAUCCCCACAGCAUCAGCAGCAGCAACACCCGCAAAUAACGGUUUCAAACAAGUCGAAGAUUAUUAUUAGUCAACAGCAGUUUCAACAGCUCAGUAUGCAACAACAACAACAGAUAUUGCAACAAAAUCAACAUAAUCAGAACGUCGUUAUAGUUAAUCAGACAAAUUUAACAGCUCAGCAACAACAACAACAACAGCAAGCACAACCCCAAAUUGUGCAACAAAUAAUACAGCAUCCUAUGCAGCAAUCGCCACAACAACAGCAACAAACAAUUCAAAUGCAGCAAUCCCCUCAGCAUCAGCAACAGCAAUUGCAGCAAAUUCCACAAAGUCCCACGCAAGUUCUUAAGACUCCGCAGCAACCUCCACCAAUCUAUACGCAUCGUCAACAAUCCGUAGAAGGGACAGAUGGGUCUAAUAAUAUGCUGCCACAACAACAACAACAACAAAUUCAACAUACACAGCAAUCGCCGCAAAUGAUAACACAAACACAAGUCAUACUUAAUCCACAACAGCAACGAAUCCCUCUACAACAACAACAUCAACCUGGCAACAUGCCUCAGCAACCACAACAAAUUGUAAUUAAUCAGCAAGUUAUCAAUAAUCCUCAACGUUUACAGUACAUGCAGCAACAACAGCAGCAAAUACAAUUACAACAACGUAAACCACAACAAAAUACAAUCAUUGUCGGCCAACAACAAUUGCAACAGCCACAUCCCCAACAACAGAUUAUAAUACAGCAGCAAACUGUGCCAACGCAAGCAUCACAACAACAACAACAUCCGCAACAAUCUCCACAACAGCAAAUGAUGACAAUACCAGCUAACAGUAAUAUGCAGAACCAAAUAAUAUUGCAACAGCAAAAGCCAACAUUACAACAACAGCAUUCAGUGGAGGGAGCGCCGUCCCAACAGCAACAGCAGCAACAACAAAUUAUACUACAACAGCCACCAAUACAACAAACAGUCGUUAUUCAGCAACAACAGUUAUCUCAACAACAAUUAAUUGCAGCUGGUCAAUCGCCGCAACAACAACAACAACAAGCCCAACAGCAACAUCAGCAAUUAAUCAUCCAACAAAGUUCACCUCAACAACAGCAACAGCAACCACAUUGGUCACCACAGCAGCAGCAGCAACAACAACAGCCGAGUCCCGCUGGAAUGCAACAACAGCCAACCCAGUCUCCAGUAGUGGUCGGUGGUACACAGGUGAUUGCGACGAACUCUUCAUUGGGAAACUUACAAGCCCCUCAGCAAUUCAUACGUGCUGUACGUCCGGGACAAUGGCAACAACCGGGCUUACCACCCGGUACCACCGCUUUGCAGGGACAGCCCCAACGGCAAGUGAUACAAGUUGAUGAUAAGACUCAUGCACAUCUUAUGACCCUAGACCCAGUAAAGAAGAUGGAAUAUAUCGCCAAGUUGCAACAGCAAAAUCAAAAGCGCUUGAUGUUUCGUCAGCAAGUGCCAUAUCAAGCGCGUCCAGGUGCACCAAAUGUUGUGUCCACUGCAAUGGGCACCGCGUUGCAACGACCCGCAGGCGCACCCACACCGGGUACUCACAUCAUUGUGCAGAGUCAAAUGCCCGCAGGUCUCACACAGCAACAGCAAAUGCAAUGGUUGCAACAGCAAGGUGCGCGACAAGUUGUUGUACGCACCGGUGCAGCCCCCGGCCUAAGUCCGAUUUCGCAACAACAACAACAACAAAUUGUUGCUGGUAGUCCGCAAACACCACAGCCGACUCAAACAGCGAAUGUCCAGCAAUUUAAUCCCACCGACGCCAAUCAGCAAAUGCUGCUACAGCGUCAACUACGAGUGCAGCAAGUACAAUUGCAACAACAACAAUUGACACCACAAAAGCAACCACAACAACAGCAGCCCGGGAUCCAAGUGGUGACCGGCGGUCAGCCCACAAUGGGCAACGAACAACAGCCGACUACACCUAGUACACCAACAACGCCUGGCGGAAACAUAAUGAACACACUUGCAUCGAGACCGAUGGUUAUGGGCUCGGCCGAAACGCAACAGCAAAUAGGUGGAACUCCACAACAACAGCAGCAGCAGGUUUUGCAACAGACUCAACAACAGCAAAUGAAUAUGAAAACAAAAACUGCAUUAGCGAACAUGCUGAACAGUCGUUUGAGCAACAACAACGGUGGCGCUAUUCAAAUGCAGCAACAACAGACCAUGAUUGUAUCAGCGAGCGGUGCUCCCGUUGCAGAUCAACCGUUACAACAACAUCCGCAACAAAUAAUACAACAUCAAGUGGUAGUCGCUGGCAACGCGUCGCAAACCGGUGUCAUGCUACAACAGCAGCAGCAACCACAGCAAUCACCACAACAGCAAAUUGGACCGGGGGGCGUUGUGCUGGAACAGCAGGACACUGCUGCAGGGCGAUUGCGACUGAUGACGCAGCAACAUAAUGCAGCUUUGCAACAGCCCGGCAUACCACCAGGUACGCAACUGUUGCAGAGCGUGGUGGGUAACGCUCAACCGCGUACUCCGCAAGAGCUAAUGAUGCUUCAGCAACAACAAUUGCAAUUGCGACGUUCGGGUGCGGUUUUGCAGACUCAACUUUCGUCGGGUGGACAUGUUGUGACUCCGGGUGCCGGUCAACAACAAAUUGUUGUAGCAGGCUCUCAGCAACAUACACAGCACUUGGGUAUUGCGGGCGGGGUGCAGCAGCAAAUUGCAGUGGCUCAAAUUCCACAAACCCAGCCGGUGCAAACGCCACAAGGCGUGAUGACACCAGCUGGUUUUAUACAGGGCCGCCCCAAUAUGCCGCCGCCAGCUCGUCCGCAAUUUUACGGACAUAAUCCAAAUCUAAAGUUACCGCCUGACCUCUUUCUCGUCGGCUGCACCUUUUAUAUAGUGGAAUAUGACGAGACUGACGCCGAUGAACUACCCAUCUGGAUGGAGACUAUACGGCAGUUUGGCGGCGAUAUUGAACGCGUCUAUUGCCAACGCGUCACUCAUGUGCUCUGUCGCACGCAACGUCAUGGCGUAGUUAUGCAGGCUUUGCGCGACUCCAAGCGCUGUAUAACCGCUUACUGGUUAAGUGAUAUCUGCUUCAAGAAACAAUUGCUGCCGCCAUGGCAGGCACUGCAUCUACCUUUCCCCAGCCAAUUCGGUUAUCAAAAGCCGCUGGAAAGGCAUAUUAUUUCCACGUACGGUUUCGAAGGUGAGGAGAGUUUCCGCAUUAAACAAAUGGUGGAAGAGUGUGGUGCCAUAUACACAUCAUAUUUGUCGAAACACAACACUGUGUUGAUUUGUAAGAAGCCCGAAGGCGAUAAAUACAUCGCUGCUAAGGAAUGGAAUAUACCGGUUGUAAAUUCCAUUUGGCUGGCAGAUAUUUGCAUUGGAAAUCUGAGUGGAAUGUCGCAGUACGAAAAUCAAAAGUAUCAGCAAUAUUCGCUGGUGGCGCCCUUCAGAAUCGACUAUCCGCUAGUGCCGCAAUUGAUGUCUGCUUGGAAGGCGCCGAUAAAUCUAACGCAGGAAGCACACGAACGUGUCAAACGUUCUUUGGCCGAACCAUUUCCCGAGCAAAAGGCAAAGCGUCAAAAAAUCUCGCCAUAUCAGGAAGAAAUACCCGAAAACAUAGUUUGCAUCGAAUACCCACAGAAUGACAAACCACCGAAGGUGAUAUUUUCGCAGGUUGCCGACCCAGAAUCGCUGAAAAAAGCUGUGCUUUCGCUUGGUGGAAUUGUUGUGGAAAAUCCAGAAGAAGCCACCUUCUUGGUUAUGACACGCGAAAGUCGCACUUGUAAACUAAUUCAAGCCGUUUGUCAUGUAAAUUAUGUUCUGAAGUCAACUUGGUUGGUGGACAGUGCCAAAGCGGGUCGCUUCCUAUCGCCAGAACCGUAUAAGAUACAAUACAUACCUGUCGAUGAGAAUCUAAAAUUCCAUCUAGAUACCGUGCUGCAUUCAAGCGUACGAAAUACGCUCUUCGCUGGCAAACAUUUCUUUGUAACACCCGACGUAUUCCCGUCGCGCACUGAAAUCGUGCGCAUGAUUGAGGCAUCCGGUGGCAAAGUCGAGGUAAAACGACGCACAUCACAAGCAAUCGCUGAUACGCAUGCUCAAUCGCCAGAGUCAUAUAUAAUCGUAACGUGUCCCAAUGAUAUGCAUUUAUGUGUGGACUUGACGCGCCAGGGCAUACCAAAGUGUCCGAUUGUUUCGACAGAGUUUGUGAUGAGUUCGAUACUAAAGCAAAAAUUGGAGAUCGAACCAAAUCUAAUCAACUACUUGUAUAAUAAUAACUAUGCUAGCACUAAGUCGAAAUAGUAUAUUAUCAUAUACGAUUAAAAUUGGCAUAUAUAAACACAAGUAAAGUUAAUACGUAGUAAGAAAAAAAAUUUAAUUAAGCUGUAGAUAUGUAAUUGUAUAUAUUUCUAAGUAAAGCGUUUAUGAUUUUUUUAUAUAUCAUAUUUUCGUAAUGCUACCAUUUUGUACAUGUUUAUACAUUACAGCGUUGGUAUUGCGAAAAUAAAAUUUUUUAUAGAAAAAGGCAAAACAACAUCCAGUAAUUUAUACAUACAUUCUUAUGUAAAUAAUUAAUUCGAAAAAGAAUCAAAAAAUACUUAUAUUAAAGAAUAAAAAAAUAUAAAAAAUAGUUAAUAAAUUAUUUGAUAUUUUGAGAAAAAGUAAACAUAAGAUUGCGUUUAAAAUACUUGUAAUGUAUACGAUUACACCCGGGAAGCCACCAGCACAUUGCGUAAAUUUAUAAAUAUUAUUGAGUACUUUAUUUCUAUUGUUUUAUUUUGUAUGUAAAACAAUACCGAAACUAAGUAUGUAUGUGAUAACUGGUUGGCUGAACUGUCACAAUAAAAAAUAUUUUGCAAUAUAUAAAUAGGUACUCAUGUGUUUAUUAUUUAUGGUGUGUGUUUUUUGUUAAAAUCACAUCAUUAUUUAGGUUGAGUAUUGAUAUGAAGCCUAGUACUACCGAUUUCUUGAUGAAGGUUAGAAAAUAUUUGUCUUGUGAAUUACCUAAAAGCCUGCUUGUGGGCAACCAUGCGUCUCUCUGCUUCGUUAUAAAUUAUGUUGUGUCAUUUUACAUUGUGUAAAAUCACCAACGUUCGACUGUGUGAACUCAUUUCGUUGAAUUAUUAAUGAAAAAAAUCUAUUUACCAAUCAGAUUUAAUACUAAUAGUGCGUACACGCCAAUUUGUAGGUUGUUUUGAAGUUUAUUUGACAUUUGCGCAUUAUUUAUGGCUGCAUCAAUUUUCUCAUUACUAAUAGUUACUAAAAUGCAUAAUUGAUUAGGUGUACAACAGCAAAUAUAUUGUGGCUUGGCUAUUUAUACUGGCACACUAAUUUAUUCGAUUUUCAUAUACAGAUCUUGUCUCUUGUUAAUCAGGAAGUCUGGAGUUCGACGGAUGGAUAAAAAGUCUAAAAUUGAAGGUGGGAUUCCUUCAGUUUCCAGAAGCAUUAAAUGUUUUGCUGUCAUUCUGUUCUACACAUUCGUUUUUGGCUAUUUAGUACCUAGUAUCGUUUAUGAAACAGUAAAAAGCUCAAUUUUUUGCUUUGCAUAAGUGUUUUGUUUUAUUUACGAAAUGAUUUAAAAAUAUAUUUUAAGUUAUUGUAUAAAAGUUAUUUUGUACGAUACAUAAUUGAAAAUUAUUGUAUUUUUGUUAUUACGAAUAAAUUUGCAAUAAAGGUUUGCGCCAAGCUGUUCACAAAGGAAAUAAAAUCUGUAAUAUUAAUUCGUAGAAUGUCAAAAUUUAUGUAGGAGACUAAUAGGGUUAAUCUGAACACAUGAAGGUGCGAAUUCGGAAAAAAUAAGAAUGUAAUAGGAAACAAAAUAGUUUAUCUCGCAUACACGCUUCAGAUUAAUGUGUGGGAUGUAGAGAUUUUUAAGUUUUUUGCUUAUUAAAAUCAGCAUUAAUGUAAUGGGUAAAAAUGUAACAAAAUAUUGGUUAAGUAAUUGGGCAAUAUAUUUACCGGUCAGACAAAUCCAAAAGUCCUAAGAAAUUUUAUGUU